rnacentral:rRNA from 1 species
UACAGAGGGUGCAAGCGUUAAUCGGAAUUACUGGGCGUAAAGCGCACGCAGGCGGCGACCCCAGUCGGAUGUGAAAGCCCCGGGCUUAACCUGGGAAUCGCAUUCGAAACUAGGUCGCUAGAAUGUGGUAGAGGGAAGUGGAAUUCCAGGUGUAGCGGUGAAAUGCGUAGAUAUCUGGAGGAACAUCAGUGGCGAAGGCGACUUCCUGGACCAACAUUGACGCUCAGGUGCGAAAGCGUGGGGAGCAAACAGG